rnacentral:snRNA from 1 species
GUGUGUGUGUGUGUGUGUGUAUACUAAAAUUGGAGUGAUGCAGAGAAGAUUAACAUAGCCUCUGCAUAAGAAUGACAUUCAAAUAUAUGAAGCAUUCCAUACUUCA